AGUGGUCUAUACAUGAUUGCUCUGUAACUUGUCUUUUCCGGAACGGUGUUUGCUUGGUCCUUCAUAUCUGACUAUGUAAUGUAGAAGCUCUACUUUAUCCUAACAGUUGCAUGUAGCAUUGUGCUACUAUCUGUGUGAUGCUAAACAAUACGCUCUUAAUCUGUUGCUAUAUUCUCAAGUGUUGUUUACCAUUUACAUUGUUUUUACAUUUGCUAUAUUCACAAAUAGUAGUAGUGUCCGGUCUAGAUAAGCAAACAAGAUAUGAUCUAUGAAGUUGUUGAUCUGAAUUGUUUAUUUCUGGGCGGUGUAGCAUGAGCUGCAGCAGGACAACCUGUAGAAGAACUUCGAGGGCAAGAUCAAGGAGAACCAGGAGACGAUCACCGGUUACCUCAUCCUCGUCGGCAUGGUUGGCUCCUUUGGCAGACCCCUCUUUGGCUCCGACCAACUUACUUUUGUCGCUGGCUAGCAGCAUUUCCAGGUGUUGUGUGUUCUGGAAGAUGGAAGAGGAAGAAAAUUUAUUUUUGUUGAACUAUUUUUUUGUAUUAUGUUUGUUGUACAUAUGAUUUGAUAGUUUUGUAUAGGAACAUGUGAUACUAUUUUGUAGGGCUUUACGGCCUGUGAUGUAAACAUAUUUAGUGAUGAAUUAUGAAUUAUUUGCAAAAUU